rnacentral:rRNA from 1 species
GGAGGUAGUGACAAUAAAUCUCAAUACGAAGCCUUUGGUUUUGUAAUUGAAUUGAGAACAAUGUACAAUCGUUAUCGAUAAACAAUUGGAGGGCAAGUCUGGUGCCAGCAGCCGCGGUAAUUCCAGCUCCAAUAGCGUAUAUUAACGUUGUUGCAGUUAAAAAGCUCGUAGUUGAAGUUUAGAUAAUUUAUUGAAAGUGUUUGUAUUCGUACAUUCUACUUUUAUGUAAGUUAUCGACAUCCAGGUGGGUGCCAUGGUUCCGCAAGGAACUGUGGUACUAGACUGGUCAUUUACUGUGAGAAAAUUAGAGUGUUUAAAGCAGACUUUCUAAAUAGUUUGAAUAGAUUAGCAUGGAAUAAUAAGAUUGGCUUUCAUAGUCGAUUUUUUGGUUUGUUUAUGAAAGCAAGAUUAAUAGGGACAGUUGGGGGUAUUCAUAUUCAAUAGCUAGAGGUGAAAUUCUAUGAUUUAUGGAAGAUGAACAAGUGCGAAAGCA